rnacentral:rRNA from 1 species
GACGAACCGUGCGAACGUUGUUCGGAAUCACUGGGCUUAAAGGGCGCGUAGGCGGGCUGUCAAGUCUGGGGUGAAAUGCCGCGGCUCAACCGUGGAACUGCCUCAGAUACUGACGGCCUCGAGGGAGGUAGGGGCGUGCGGAACUGUAGGUGGAGCGGUGAAAUGCGUAGAUAUCUGGAGGAACACCGGUGGCGAAGGCGGCAUCCUGGACCAUUACUGACGCUGAGGAGCGAAAGCGUGGGGAGCAAACAGG